rnacentral:rRNA from 1 species
UAAGGAAUAUUGCUCAAUGGGAGAAAUCCUGAAGCAGCAACGCCGCGUGGAGGAUGAAGGGUCUAUGACUUGUAAACUCCUGUAAAGAAGGAAAAAAUUCCCAUUAGAUGGGAGAUGAUGGUACUUCUGGAGUAAGCCCCGGCUAACUACGUGCCAGCAGCCGCGGUAAUACGUAGGGGGCAAGCGUUGUCCGGAUUUACUGGGUGUAAAGGGUGCUCAGGCGGAUUUGUAAGUCAGAGGUGAAAUCUUACAGCUUAACUGUGAAACUGCCUUUGAUACUGCAAGCCUAGAGUAUGGAAGAGAGUGAUGGAAUAUCUGGUGUAGCAGCGAAAUGCGUAGAUAUCAGAUAGAACACCAAUGGCGAAGGCAGUCACUUGGUCCAUUACUGACGCUAAAGCACGAAAGCGUGGGUAGCAAACA